rnacentral:rRNA from 1 species
UAGGGAAUCUUCCACAAUGGGCGCAAGCCUGAUGGAGCAACACCGCGUGAGUGAAGAAGGUCUUCGGAUCGUAAAACUCUGUUGUUAGAGAAGAACACGAGUGAGAGUAACUGUUCAUUCGAUGACGGUAUCUAACCAGCAAGUCACGGCUAACUACGUGCCAG